rnacentral:tRNA from 1 species
GCCUUAGUGGUAUAAUGGUCAGCACACUCGGCGCGUAUUCGAGAGGUCCGAGGUUCAAAUCCCGGCGAGAGCA